AACGAACGCUGGCGGCGUGCCUAACACAUGCAAGUCGAACGGGAUUCGGAGCUUGCUCCGAUGAGAGUGGCGCACGGGUGAGUAACGCGUAGAUAAUCUGCCUGAUGAUCUGGGAUAACAGUUCGAAAGGACUGCUAAUACCGGAUAAGCCCACGGAGACCUUGGUCUUUGCGGGAAAAGGGGGGGACCUUCGGGCCUUCCGUCAUCAGAUGAGUCUGCGUACCAUUAGCUAGUUGGUAGGGUAAAGGCCUACCAAGGCGACGAUGGUUAGCUGGUCUGAGAGGAUGAUCAGCCACACUGGAACUGAGACACGGUCCAGACUCCUACGGGAGGCAGCAGUGGGGAAUUUUGCGCAAUGGGGGAAACCCUGACGCAGCAACGCCGCGUGAGUGAGGAAGGCUCUUGGGUCGUAAAGCUCUGACAGAGGGAAAGAAGUGUAUGGUGGUUAAUACCCAUUGUACUUGACGGUACCCUCAAAGGAGGCACCGGCUAACUCCGUGCCAGCCGCCGCGGUAAUAC
rnacentral:rRNA from 1 species